AUUUCAACAUCUCGGUGACUUAAUACAACAAAAGAUUUAUUUCUUUGUUUCCCAUUCCAGUGCUAAUUAGGUCUCACUCCUUGGCAACUCUCCUCCUCCAAUGUUGACUGGGGGAUCCCAGAUCCCAGCAACUUCCAAAUUGCAACUCCACAUUUUAGAGUUCUUUACAGCCAGCCUGUGAACCAGGUGCCUGCUUUAGCAGCCAGGACCCUCUUGGAAAGCUGGUGAUGUCCAGUUCUGGCCCAAGUAACUCCAGCAAGUCACUGGGUGGGAGAGGUCUGUCUCCAGGGAAGACAGCUUGCCAUUCCACUGCACCCCCACCAGCACGCCGCAGUGAGUCGGCUAGCCAGUGCUCGUAGACAGCAUCCUGAGGAUACCCAGCAUUUUGAGUUCCAGCCCAUGUAAUAAUGCCCAGCUCCAGACAGAUGGAUUAGUUUGAACUAUGUGACACUGCCUAUAUAAAAUUGUUUCUGACCUACAAAAAUGAGACUUU
rnacentral:lncRNA from 1 species